GCACAAUCACUACUGGAUUGCGAGAUCCAGUCAGAACCGGGAGCAUUUCAUCCCUGAGAUGCAUUUUCCACAAAGCUACAAUGCUGAUUUUAAAUUACAGCUGAAUCAGUAUAUUCUCAUCCCCCAGAAAAAAACUUCCUCACUUAAUAAAGUACAUGUCAGAAAACCAGAAUUACACUGAAAUAGAAGGCUCCAGUGGCAUCUUCAGCAACAUGACGAUUUAAAAAGCAAUACAUAUGCAGCAACAUCAUUAGAGAAAUCCUGCCCUGAUGUACUUGUAUCCUGACAUCUGAAACAGAUGAUGUUAAACUAUUUAACACUACCAACAAUGCGGCUACCCUUCAAAAAGACCUUGACUUUGUGUCGGAAUGGUCAAAAAUUUGGCAACUCCAAAUCUCAACCAACAAAUGCUCUGUCUUACACAUUGGAAAAAAGAAUCAGAACACUAAAUACAAGCUUGACGGACAUGACCUUGUAGAUGACCCUCACUCCGUCAAAGACCUUGGAGUUUUCAUAUCAAAAGAUCUAAGUGCCAAACCCCACUGCAACUAUAUCACCAAAAAGGCUUUAAGAGUUGUAAACCUAAUCUUGCAUAGCUUCUUCUCCAGAAAGAUUAUACUACUAACCAGAGCAUACAAAACAUUUGCUAGACCAAUUCUCGAUUACAGCUCGCCUGUCUGGAGCCCACACCUCAUUUCGGACAUUAAUACAAUUGAGCAUGUCCAGAAAUAUUUUACAAGAAGAGUUCUCCACUCCUCUGAUCACAACAAAAUACCUUAUGCCACCAGACUUGAAAUCCUGGGUUUAAAAAAUUUAGAACUCCGUUGCCUUCGGCAUGACCUGAGCUUAGCUCAUAAAAUCAUCUGCCACGAUG